GCCCGGGUGGUGGAAUUGGUAGACACGCAGGACUUAAAAUCCUGUGGCCAUCUCGGCCGUGCGGGUUCAAGUCCCGCUCCGGGCA
rnacentral:tRNA from 1 species